UCGGCGUGGCGGACUCCAGGAACCGCGGCCGGAGGCGUCGCCUCACGAUGGCGCCGGCCAUCAAGCGCUCUGUUCAGAUUUCGUCCUCUGGUGUGAAAACCGGCGAGGAAGAGGAGGCGGUGGAGGACGAGGCGAGGUGUGCAGCAGGUCGACAGGCUCUGGCACGCUUCGUCACUUUGGUUGCGGAUGCAACCGAGCGGCCGAAGCCUGUCCAUGGUGUGCAGGUCCCCGCUGAUGCGAUUCGUUCCAAGUUCUGGGCUUAGCAGGGGGAUUCUUCCGACAACGACGACGCCGAAGACGAACCUGCCUCGCCAACGACACCGGAACUUGUCAACGCCGCUCUGCAAGAGGGUUUCACCGUCGAGCAGCUGCUGCGGGCAGAGGACGCUCUACAGCCAGGUACUCUUCAGAGGAACACACUGGCUUCGUCAGUGGGCAAAUCUGCAGCGGCAUGAUGUUCUUCGAGAGCAGCUGAUCCAUGUUGGAACUUACCUUGAGACAUCAGCUCUGCAGUUUUUUAGUGCCCGUGGAUGGUUAGCUGCUAGAUAUAUUGGUCAUGUUUAGUUCAAAAAAUUUUAUUUCGUUUUGCUUGGUCGAUUUGUUGGCUGUCAAGAACUCUUUGUAAUUAUUGGUCUGAUUCUAUCAGUUGAUAGAAGAAGCCGGAUAUAAACUAUCCCUUAUCUAAAAAACAGUGGACAGUGGUGGCGUGGUGCUUAUGUCAUAUGUAGGUCCAGCCCAUUUUGGAUGAUUCUUUGAAGCUAUAUCUGCUGGUUAGACACACAAA